CGCGGGGUGGAGCAGCCCGGUAGCUCGUCAGGCUCAUAACCUGAAGGUCGUAGGUUCAAAUCCUACCACCGCAA
rnacentral:tRNA from 1 species